rnacentral:piRNA from 2 species
UAAAAUUUCUGAGGAGUGCAUCGCACAGU